rnacentral:rRNA from 1 species
GGCGGAACAAGGGAGCUUGCUCCCGGAUGUUAGCGGGGGACGGGUGAGUGACACGUGGGUGACCUGCCUGUAGAACUGGGAUGCUCCGGGAAACCGGAGCUAAUACCGGAUAGUUCCUUGAACCGAAUGGUUCAGGGAUGAAAGACGGCUUCGGCUGUCACUUACGCAUGGACCCGCGGCGCAUUAACUAGUUGGUGAGGUAACGGCUCACCAAGGCGACUAUGCGGACCCAACCUGAGAGGGUGAUCGGCCACACUGGGACUGAGACCCGGCCCAUACUCCUACGGGAGGCAGCAAUAAGGAAUCUUCCGCAAUGGACCAAAGUCUGACGGAGCAACGGCGCGAGAGUGAUGAAGGUUUUCGGAUCCAAAAUCUCUGUUGUUAAGGGAGAACAAGUGAAAAAGUAACUGCUUGCACCUUGACCGUACCUAACCAAAAAGCCACGGCUAAGUACGUGCCAGCAGCCGCGGUAAUACGGAUAGGUGGCAAGCGUUAUCCGGAAUUAUUGGGCGUAAAGGGCUCGCAUGGCGGUUUCUUAAGUCUGAUGUGAAAGCCCCCGGCUCAACCCUGGAGGGUCAUUGGAAACUGGGAAACUUGAGUGCAGAAGAGGAAAGUGGAAGUCCACGUGUAACAGUGGAAAUGCGUAUAGAUGAGUAGGAACACCAAUGGCGAACGCCACUCUCUGGACUGUAACUGACGCUCAAGAGCG